CGAACGAACGCUGGCGGCAGGCCUAACACAUGCAAGUCGAGCGCCCCGCAAGGGGAGCGGCGGACGGGUGAGUAACGCGUGGGAACGUACCCUUUGCUACGGAAUAGCCUCGGGAAACUGGGAGUAAUACCGUAUGUGCCCUUCGGGGGAAAGAUUUAUCGGCAAAGGAUCGGCCCGCGUUGGAUUAGGUAGUUGGUGGGGUAAUGGCCUACCAAGCCGACGAUCCAUAGCUGGUUUGAGAGGAUGAUCAGCCACACUGGGACUGAGACACGGCCCAGACUCCUACGGGAGGCAGCAGUGGGGAAUCUUAGACAAUGGGCGCAAGCCUGAUCUAGCCAUGCCGCGUGAGCGAUGAAGGCCUUAGGGUUGUAAAGCUCUUUCAGUGGGGAAGAUAAUGACUGUACCCACAGAAGAAGCCCCGGCUAACUCCGUG
rnacentral:rRNA from 1 species